rnacentral:tmRNA from 1 species
CUGCAAACGACGAACGUUUCGCACUCGCUGCUUAAUUGCACGUGAGCCUCACAACAGCAAGCCGAUAGGCUGGGCAAGGGUGGCGCAAGCUGUCCAGGCUGUGGGGUAACUUCAUUCGGCUGGGUCCGCCUCGGGCAACUUGGGGCGGGUCAAGAAAAUAGGUUGCUGGCGUCCUUCAGAGCGUGCCGCUGCGCGCUGCAGGAAGCGAGACCCAAACCAGACGGCUACACAUGUAGAACUGCGCGAAGAAGGCUUGCGGACGGGGGUUCAAUUCCCCCCAGCUCCACCA